rnacentral:tRNA from 1 species
GAUGUAACUCAGCAGUAGAGUGCUUGCCUAGCGAACAAAAGGCCCUGAGUUCAAUUCUCAGUAUC